rnacentral:tRNA from 1 species
UAGCUCAGUGGUAGAGUACUUGCUUAACAUGUAUGAGGCCUUGGGUUCAAUCCCAA